rnacentral:rRNA from 1 species
GAUGAACGCUGGCGGCGUGCCUAAUACAUGCAAGUCGAACGAAGCUUCUUUAUCACCGAGUGCUUGCACUCACCGAUAAAGAGUUGAGUGGCGAACGGGUGAGUAACACGUGGGCAACCUGCCCAAAAGAGGGGGAUAACACUUGGAAACAGGUGCUAAUACCGCAUAACCAUAGUUACCGCAUGGUAACUAUGUAAAAGGUGGCUAUACUACCGCUUUUGGAUGGGCCCGCGGCGCAUUAGCUAGUUGGUAGGGUAAAGGCUUACCAAGGCAAUGAUGCGUAGCCGAAUUGAGAGGUUGAUCGGCCACAUUGGGACUGAGACACGGCCCAAACUCCUACGGGAGGCAGCAGUAGGGAAUCUUCCACAAUGGGCGAAAGCCUGAUGGAGCAACGCCGCGUGGGUGAAGAAGGUCUUCGGAUCGUAAAACCCUGUUGUUAGAGAAGAAAGUGCGUGAGAGUAACUGUUCACGUUUCGACGGUAUCUAACCAGAAAGCCACGGCUAACUACGUG